CUUCAAAUAAAACUAAGUUCAAUACCAACACACUAAAUAUUAUCAGGAGAAGCUGCCCUGAUGCGGUACAGCUGUGCAUUCCCAUUCUGUGGUGGUUCUGUGACAGCCUCGGAAACACCAGAGUGUAGAAAGUAUCCAUCCCCACAUUUGUGGGGCUCUGGACUUUUUCUGCUUCUUGCUAAGUCAGGGUCUAUCCCACAGAGGGACUGUGUGCCAGAAGCAGGUGGGAAAGUGACAGAGCCCAACAGAGUCAAGGCCAGCCAGGAGUGGGAAAGAAUGAGAGCCUUUGAGUUGGGAAUGACCAGAAAGUGUUUGGUAAUCUUUAUCUUUUCUUUCUUUUACUUGAGAUGUAAUCUCACUAUGUAGCCUUGGCUGGCCUGCAAUUCAGACAUCUGCCUUCCUCUGCCUCCUAAGUGCUGGAACUAGAGGCGUGCACUACCAUACCAGGUAUGUUUGUCAAUCUUAUCCAAUGUGGUCCCCAUGGAGGUAAGAGGUCAGGAACAUAGCUGGAAAAAGCUUAGUGAGUCUCAGAUGUCAGGGUGCUCCUGUCACUCCCAAUAGGAUUCAAACAAGAGGAAGGAUUUCCCAUGCCCAAGUGUCAAUGGGGCACAAGAAUGAAACCUGUCCCUUCACUUCCUUCCUCAAAGAGGAGGACAACUUGGUUUCAGCUGAAGACCUGGCCAACCCUUUCUUUAGCUGUCAUGUCCUGACAUCAAAAUGCACUAAAAGGUUACUUUUGACAUGCCCCAUGUAUUCAUCACAAACACAGGGCCUGAGCAGAGAGAACCUCACUGGAUCAAGAACCACAACUGGCCAGAUGGGUAGUGAUGCAUGCCUUUAAUCUCACCACUCGGGAGACAGAGGCCAAGUUCCACAACAAUGUGGCCGUUUGUCCAUCAAAAAUCUGAAUCUAGAAGAUGGAAGUGACUGGCAACCAGGCCCUGCCUCCUUUGAUCCUGAGAUUUUGGGGGGCAUUUUUCUUUAAAUGUGCUUCUAUCUUUGAUCUUAUUCAGUUCUCCUGACCCAAAGGUGACUGAUUUCCCCAGGGCAUCAGGACAGAGUAGAGAGUUCCAAAGGUCAUCCAUAUUUUAUCGCCAGAUAGUAGAAGAAAUUGGGGUGCAGACCCCCAGCAAGCAGUCUUGCAGACCACAUGAGUACAGAACUCAACUUGAAACCAUGACUCCUUUACACCAUGGCCUGUAAGCUCUUGGCAAAACAGCCCAAGUUGUCAGGCGUGUGCUGCUUUUCAGCAAAAGCAAACUCAGUUCAAAUUUGCUGUCC
rnacentral:lncRNA from 1 species